rnacentral:rRNA from 1 species
UCCAGACUCCUACGGGAGGCAGCAGUGAGGAAUAUUGGUCAAUGGCCGCAGGGCUGAACCAGCCAAGCCGCGUGAGGGAUGAAGGUACAGAGUAUCGUAAACCUCUUUUGUCAGGGAACAAAGGCGGGGACGCGUCCCCGGAUGAGUGUACCUGAAGAAAAAGCAUCGGCUAACUCCGUGCCAGCAGCCGCGGUAAUACGGAGGAUGCGAGCGUUAUCCGGAUUUAUUGGGUUUAAAGGGUGCGCAGGCGGAAUGUCAAGUCAGCGGUAAAAUUUCGGGGCUCAACCCCGUCGUGCCGUUGAAACUGGCGUUCUUGAGUGAGCGAGAAGUAUGCGGAAUGCGUGGUGUAGCGGUGAAAUGCAUAGAUAUCACGCAGAACUCCGAUUGCGAAGGCAGCAUACCGGCGGCGAUCUGACGCUGAGGCACGAAAGCGUGGGUAUCGAACAGGAUUAGAUACCCUCGUAUU